UCGCGUCCAUGUAUAUAAAAUGCUUCUAGUUAAACGUGGUCCUUCAUCGGAUUGCCCAUUUCAGCAACCUCAUGAAAAGGAAGAUUUUGCCACUAAUACGUGUGAGUAAUCUCUCAUAGUUCUCCAUCAGUUAAAUGUCUCGGUUCUUCAGCGAUUUCCUGUCAUAAUUACGCAUUCAUCAACCUGAAGAUGAAAAGUAAUUUAUGCACUCCGGGUGUGAUUAGAAUUCCCUUUCCCCGGUUCCAAUUUGCUGAUAAAAUAAGUUGUUCGCAGAGUAAUCGCACCUCCAACAUGUUACUUGCUAGACAAGUAGAAUUAAGAAGUACGGCGGACAAGAAAAAUAACACAAAUCACGUUGACAGAAAUAUGUAUAAUGCUUCUUAAUUUCAAAGUGAUGCACCUUAAUUCUUGUUCUGGCUAAUUUUCGUCACUGAAACAACAUAGUAGAUCUGAGGAGGCAGAAUGAAACAUGAAGGGUGUCUUUCCGGAAAGAAGAUGACCAGUAUCAAUGCUUUCCGACCAAGAUGAAGUCGUCAUCGUCGAGUACCUGAACUUCUCCAUUUCCCACGAAAUGCU
rnacentral:lncRNA from 1 species